UCAGAUUGAACGCUGGCGGCAGGCUUAACACAUGCAAGUCGAGCGGGGGAGGUUGCUUCGGUAACUGACCUAGCGGCGGACGGGUGAGUAAUACUUAGGAAUCUGCCUAUUAAUGGGGGACAACAUCUCGAAAGGGAUGCUAAUACCGCAUACGCCCUACGGGGGAAAGCAGGGGAUCACUUGUGACCUUGCGUUAAUAGAUGAGCCUAAGUCGGAUUAGCUAGUUGGUGGGGUAAAGGCCUACCAAGGCGACGAUCUGU
rnacentral:rRNA from 1 species